AGUGCUGACAACUCCCUCAGAAGGCCAUAUCACCCCAGUAGUCAAAAAUAACUAUACCAAAUGCUUAAAUCAUAAAUUCUACAAGUUUUUCUGUGCCCUUGGAUCCACAAUUUCUGGCUAGGGUACAAUGUUUUUAUUGUAUAAAGGCACCAAAUGUGCCAACCUGAUCUCUAAAAAAACAGAGAGCCUUAUUAUGGCUUUGGGAGAGGAUCAGGAUAUAUUAGAUUGGAAAACCUUAUAGACACCUGGGAUGAUCUUUAAGCAUAGGAAGUGAAGGCCUUCAUCUCUGAGACCAAAUUCCAGAUAUUCCCUUCAGCUCCUGGGAGUGGAGGAGGAGAGGAACAAAAAGAAGGCAUUCUGGGAGAAUGGAAGAUUUACACACACACACAAUCCUGCAGCCACCUUCUCCAGUUGUCUCAGCCCUGGUAUGCCAUCAUUGCGACUUAAGUGUGGAUUGUGUCAACCCAGAAACCUGUAAUGAAGGACAAUUUGUCUGUAUCUUGGACUUAAUUAAAGUUCCAAACUAUACCUCAGUUCAAAAGAUAUGCUUCUCAAGUUGUAAGGACUACCUUUUAUUAGAGAAUCCACAAAAAAAAGGCCGCAUUUCAAGCAAAAGCAAUGAAUCCCAUUGGCUCGAUCAACACAAUCUGCGUGCUGACUACCAUCAUCAUAAUGAAGUUGGAGUACACAAAGAAAAGGUCUCCCUGGAGCAUCUCAUUGUGUGCUGUGACAAAGACCUGUGUAACCAGGCCAGGAUCAGGAGUCCAGAAGGCUUAAUUCUUCUCUUUGGGCUCCUACUCAACUUCCUCCCCUCUUCAAUUCUGUGACAUUGUUAGACCCUUCUAAGACAAUUUUCUCAUAUUAAGAUCUCAUAGAAUAUUCAUAGUAAUUAAAAGUAAGUCGAAUUGACUUAUGCUGGACUUACACUCCGAUUUUGGUUUCUAAAUGUAUUUCUGGAAGGUUUAUCAGAGGACUUACCUGCUCAACUUGCCGAGCUGACAGAUUGGUCUUGUUUACCCUCUGAUUGUAUAUCAUCAGCUGGGGAUGAAUUGGUUGGCUCAGUAAGUCCUCUGGGCUAGAGCAGUUUGAUCCUUAAUGCUAGACCCCUAAAAGAGAGUCUAUGGGGCAGAUUUAUCUCUCCAUUUCCCCUUUUACAACAUAUAUGUCAGUACUCCUUG
rnacentral:lncRNA from 1 species